rnacentral:rRNA from 1 species
CGCCUGGGGAGUGCGGUCGCAAGACUAAAACUCAAAUGAAUUGACGGGGGCCCGCACAAGCGGUGGAGCAUGUGGUUUAAUUCGAUGCAACGCGAAGAACCUUACCUGGUCUUGACAUAGUAAGAACUUUCCAGAGAUGGAUUGGUGCCUUCGGGGACUUACAUACAGGUGCUGCAUGGCUGUCGUCAGCUCGUGUCGUGAGAUGUUGGGUUAAGUCCCGCAACGAGCGCAACCCUUUUCCUUAUUUGCCAGCACUUUGGUGGGAACUUUAAGGAUACUGCCAGUGACAAACUGGAGGAAGGCGGGGACGACGUCAAGUCAUCAUGGCCCUUACGACCAGGGCUACACACGUGCUACAAUGGUCGGUACAAAGGGUUGCUACCUAGCGAUAGGAUGCUAAUCUCAAAAAGCCGAUCGUAGUCCGGAUUGGAGUCUGCAACUCGACUCCAUGAAGUCGGAUCGCUAGUAUCGCGGAUCAGAUGCCGCGUGAUACGUCCGGGCUUGACACACGCCCGUC